GACGUUAGCGGCGGACGGGUGAGUAACACGUGGGCAACCUACCCUAUAGUUUGGGAUAACUCCGGGAAACCGGGGCUAAUACCGAAUAAUCUCUUUUGCUUCAUGGUGAAAGACUGAAAGACGGUUUCGGCUGUCGCUAUAGGAUGGGCCCGCGGCGCAUUAGCUAGUUGGUGAGGUAACGGCUCACCAAGGCGACGAUGCGUAGCCGACCUGAGAGGGUGAUCGGCCACACUGGGACUGAGACACGGCCCAGACUCCUACGGGAGGCAGCAGUAGGGAAUCUUCCACAAUGGGCGAAAGCCUGAUGGAGCAACGCCGCGUGAGUGAAGAAGGUUUUCGGAUCGUAAAACUCUGUUGUAAGGGAAGAACAAGUACAGUAGUAACUGGCUGUACCUUGACGGUACCUUAUUAGAAAGCCACGGCUAACUACGUGCCAGCAGCCGCGGUAAUACGUAGGUGGCAAGCGUUGUCCGGAAUUAUUGGGCGUAAAGCGCGCGCAGGCGGUCCUUUAAGUCUGAUGUGAAAGCCCACGGCUCAACCGUGGAGGGUCAUUGGAAACUGGGGGACUUGAGUGCAGAAGAGGAAAGUGGAAUUCCAAGUGUAGCGGUGAAAUGCGUAGA
rnacentral:rRNA from 1 species